rnacentral:rRNA from 1 species
UUGAUUGGUGCUUGCAUCAUGAUUUACAUUUGAGUGAGUGGCGAACUGGUGAGUAACACGUGGGAAACCUGCCCAGAAGCGGGGGAUAACACCUGGAAACAGAUGCUAAUACCGCAUAACAACUUGGACCGCAUGGUCCGAGCUUGAAAGAUGGCUUCGGCUAUCACUUUUGGAUGGUCCCGCGGCGUAUUAGCUAGAUGGUGGGGUAACGGCUCACCAUGGCAAUGAUACGUAGCCGACCUGAGAGGGUAAUCGGCCACAUUGGGACUGAGACACGGCCCAAACUCCUACGGGAGGCAGCAGUAGGGAAUCUUCCACAAUGGACGAAAGUCUGAUGGAGCAACGCCGCGUGAGUGAAGAAGGGUUUCGGCUCGUAAAACUCUGUUGUUAAAGAAGAACAUAUCUGAGAGUAACUGUUCAGGUAUUGACGGUAUUUAACCAGAAAGCCACGGCUAACUACGUGCCAGCAGCCGCGGUAAUACGUAGGUGGCAAGCGUUGUCCGGAUUUAUUGGGCGUAAAGCGAGCGCAGGCGGUUUUUUAAGUCUGAUGUGAAAGCCUUCGGCUCAACCGAAGAAGUGCAUCGGAAACUGGGAAACUUGAGUGCAGAAGAGGACAGUGGAACUCCAUGUGUAGCGGUGAAAUGCGUAGAUAUAUGGAAGAACACCAGUGGCGAAGGCGGCUGUCUGGUCUGUAACUGACGCUGAGGCUCGAAAGUAUGGGUAGCAAACAGGAUUAGAUACCCUGGUAGUCCAUACCGUAAACGAUGAAUGCUAAGUGUUGGAGGGUUUCCGCCCUUCAGUGCUGCAGCUAACGCAUUAAGCAUUCCGCCUGGGGAGUACGGCCGCAAGGCUGAAACUCAAAGGAAUUGACGGGGGCCCGCACAAGCGGUGGAGCAUGUGGUUUAAUUCGAAGCUACGCGAAGAACCUUACCAGGUCUUGACAUACUAUGCAAAUCUAAGAGAUUAGACGUUCCCUUCGGGGACAUGGAUACAGGUGGUGCAUGGUUGUCGUCAGCUCGUGUCGUGAGAUGUUGGGUUAAGUCCCGCAACGAGCGCAACCCUUAUUAUCAGUUGCCAGCAUUAAGUUGGGCACUCUGGUGAGACUGCCGGUGACAAACCGGAGGAAGGUGGGGAUGACGUCAAAUCAUCAUGCCCCUUAUGACCUGGGCUACACACGUGCUACAAUGGAUGGUACAACGAGUUGCGAACUCGCGAGAGUAAGCUAAUCUCUUAAAGCCAUUCUCAGUUCGGAUUGUAGGCUGCAACUCGCCUACAUGAAGUCGGAAUCGCUAGUAAUCGCGGAUCAGCAUGCCGCGGUGAAUACGUUCCCGGGCCUUGUACACACCGCCCGUCACACCAUGAGAGUUUGUAACACCCAAAGUCGGUGGG